AAGAUCUUAAUUUUACAAUUAAAAACUAAACAAAAAUAAUUCUUAAAUUUGUGCCGUGUUAAUGCAGGAAGGCAAGUCUAUAGCCUAUUUCAGCAAGGCUCUCUCAACUCAAACUCUCUCUCAGUCAACUUACGAGAAAGAGUUAAUGGCUCUAGCUCUCGCCAUUCAAUGGUGUCCCUAUCUCUUGGGACAGAAAUUUCUGGUCAAAACUGAUCAACGAAGUCUUCUACAUUCAUUCCACUAGCACAACAAUGCUGGGUUUCUAAAUUGAUGGGCCAUAAGUUUGAUGUGGAAUAUAAACCUGGACAGAGUAACAAAGCAGUUGAUGCCUUGUCCUGCCGCGAGGAUGAUUGCCAACUGGAACUUUCAGCUUUUAGUCACCCACAAUGGCUGGAAUGGGAAGAUUUAUCUACUGCCAUUUAGGCAGAUCCAGCUCUUCAAAAAAUCGUGGCAGUAUUAUGGUCCAACCCAAAAGGUCAGCCUCCCAACUCUUUAAUUCAAAACUAAUUAUUCUAAAAAGGAGUUUGGUCAUACCAGCUCACUCUCCAUGGGUGCAAAAGCUUAUCGGAGAAUUCCACUCUACACCUAUUGGUGGACACUCGGAGGCUUUCCAAACUUAUAGGAGGUUGGCGGCUGGUCUAUAUUGGCCAGGCAUGAUGAAAACAGCCCAGCAAUAUGUUGCUUCUAUGUCAGAAAAAUAAGUGUGAAGCCCUUUCUCCGGCUGGUCUACUUUAGCCUCCCCUUAUUACUAAGAGAAUUUGGGAAGAUAUUUCACUAGACUUCAUAACAGGGCUUCCAAAAUCUCAAGGGAUGGACUGUGUUUUAGUGAUGGUCAAUCUUCUUUCUAAGUAUGGUCAUAUCAUUCAUAUACGCCAUCCAUACAUAGCCAAAAGUAUAGCUGCUUUGUUUGUUAAGAAGAUUGUGAGGUUGCAUGGAAUUCCUCUUUCCAUGGUGACUGGGACCCUAUUUUCGUCAGUCAUUUUUGUGCUGAAAUUUUUCGAUUGAUGGGCACACAGUUGUGAAUGAGUUCAACAUACCACCCACAAUCUGAUGGGCAAACGGAGGUCCUAAAUCAAUGCCUGGUGCAGUACCUUCAAUGCUUCGUCUCACAAUAACAUAAAACAUAGGUCAACCAGCCGCCUUGGGCCGAAUAUUCAUACAACACCAACUUCAUGGCACUUCCAAGCAAAGUCCAUUUCCGGUGGUCUAUGGUAGGACGCCCCCUUCUAUGUUACACUAUCCGCAAGGAGCAACAAGGGUGGAAGAAGUCUCCAACAUCUUAUCUUAUCAAGAUGAAAUUCUCUGGCAGUUACAUUACAAUCUUCAAAAAGACCAGUCUUCUAUAGUUCAAUAUGCUAGUUUAAGAAGGCAGGACCUGCAAUUCCAAGUGGAAGAUAAGGUCUUUCUCAAACUCAGACCCUACCGUCAGCACUCUCUUCACUCUCAAGUCAGUCCUAAAUUAGCUCCUCACUUUUGUGGUCCAUUUCUAAUUACUGCCAAAAUUGGGAAUGUUGUUUAUCAUCUUCAACUUCCACCUAAGGCUCGUGUUCACCCUGUUUUUCACGUCUUCCAAUUGAAGAAAGCUAUGAAGACCACACAAUGCUUGCUACUUUACCACCGGAUAGGGGUGUGCAUUAUUCAGUUCAAACCGAAUAAACUGAACCGAACUGCCGUAAUUCAAUAAUUCGGUUUGAUUCAGUUUUAUAUUAUAAAAAUUU
rnacentral:misc_RNA from 1 species